rnacentral:rRNA from 1 species
GGAAUCUUGCACAAUGGAGGAAACUCUGAUGCAGCGAUGCCGCGUGAGUGAAGAGGGCCUUUGGGUUGUAAAGCUCUUUUGUAGGGGAAGAUAAUGACUGUACCCUAAGAAUAAGGUCCGGCUAACUUCGUGCCAGCAGCCGCGGUAAUACGAAGGGACCUAGCGUAGUUCGGAAUUACUGGGCGUAAAGCGCGCGUAGGCCGUUGAGUUAGUUAAUUGUGAAAUCCCAAAGCUUAACUUUGGAACUGCAAUUAAAACUGCUCGACUAGAGUUUGAUAGAGGAAAGCGAAAUACAUAGUGUAGAGGUGAAAUUCGUAGAUAUUAUGUAGAACACCAGUUGCGAAGGCGGCUUUCUGGAUCAACACUGACGCUGAGGCGCGAAAGUAUGGGUAGCAAAGAGGAUUAGAUACCCUCGUAGUCCAUACCAUAAACGAUGAUUGCUAGAUGUUGGAAAUUUAUUUUCAGUAUCGCAGCUAACGCAUUAAGCAAUCCGCCUGGGGAGUACGACCGCAAGGUUAAAACUCAAAUGAAUUGACGG